UGAUAAGUUGAUUUUAAUAUAUUGUUCGUUGUCAACCUUUUCAAUAUUGAGAGAUUGAAAGCUACAGUGUUGUGCAUUUUGUUAUGGACUUCCGAAAUCUACUUAGUCUGGUAACCUGAGAUUGUUGCAAACUUGCAAUGCAAUGGAAAUGCUCACUGAUAUUUUUUGCUGUUUCACCCCAUGAUAGGAGAAACCAGAGAAGCCAGCCAUGAAACCAGUCCAGAUGAAUAUAAUGCCAGACAGCGCCAUCCUGAGCUCCUGAGUGCUUCCUACCCCCGGGGACAGCGGCAUAUUCUAUUAUCAUCUUCCUCGACGAACCACGCCGUAUAUAUCCAUGUUGUCAUCUGGCCAAUAGAAAAUUAUCACAGAAAUGAUAUGAUAUUGUGGCGCUGUAGCAUAAGCAAACCACGCCGUAUAUAUCCAUGUUGUCAUCUGGCCAAUAGAAAAUUAUCACAGAAAUGAUAUGAUAUUGUGGCGCUGUAGCAUAAGCAUAGUUGUAUCACAGUACUGAGUGUAGAAUGUCAUCGAGUAUAUAUAUGGUAUGUUGUGGUUGAGUGAAUAAAGUGGGAGCAAAACGGAUGUG
rnacentral:lncRNA from 1 species